ensembl:lncRNA
CCUGUAGGUAACUCCAACCCUGUUCCUGGAGAGAGACCCUCCUGUAGGUAACUCCAACCCUGUUCCUGGAGAGAGACCCUCCUGUAGGUAACUCCAACCCUGUUCCUGGAGAGAGACCCUCCUGUAGGUAACUCCAAACCUGUUCCUGGAGAGAGACCCUCCUGUAGGUAACUCCAACCCUGUUCCUACCUACAAGUAAUGUAUUGUCCUGUUUUUAUCUCUUCUAUACCAGCAAUCUCAAGCGCUAUCUUUUUCUGCUCUCUCUCAUUCUCUCUCUCUCUCUCUCUCUCAUUCUCUCUAUCUCUCCCCACCUCUCUCUCUCAUUCUCUCUCUCUCUCCCCACCUCUCUCUCUCUCAUUCUCUCUCUCUCUCUCCCCCACCUCUCUCUCAUUCUCUCUCUCUCCCCCCACCUCUCUCUCUCUCAUUCUCUCUCUCUCUCUCUGUCCCCACCUCUCUCUCUCUCAUUCUCUCUCUUUCUCUCUCUCUCUCCCCACCUCUCUCUCUCUCUCUCUCUCUCCCCACCUCUCUCUCUCUCAUUUUCUCUCUCCCCACCUCUCUCUCUCUCUCGCUCAUUCUCUCUCUCUCUCUCCCCCUCUCUCUCUCUCUCUGUCUCUCAUUCUCUCUCUCUCUCUCGCUCAGUGUAUAAUAUCUGUGUCUGACCCUGCACUGAAGCUGGAUGAACUAACUGAAGACUGGUAGAAACAGAGAGCUGGUUGUAUUGAAAGCAAUAGAUGGAUCUAUAUACAGUAGAUCUCUGGUUGUAUAGACUGUAAUUGGGUCCAAUGUAUUGCAUGCUGGGACAUUUAAGGUUUAAUGUUGACGUUUAAAAAGUUAAUAAAAUAAGAACUGUGACAUGAGGAUGAUAGUGGUGAGGAUGAAGAUGAUGAAGAUGAUGUUACCUAUGUACAUAGGCUUCUGUUGUUUCCUAUAUUAUGUAUGUUAUACCUGUCAGAGGUCAAUAAACAGUUGUCUCUGUCAGAGGUCAAUAAACAGUUGUCUCUGUCAGAGGUCAAUAAACAGUGUAC